rnacentral:rRNA from 1 species
GGAGCCGCAGCGAAAGCGAGUCUGAAUAGGGCGCAUGAGUACGUGGUCGUAGACCCGAAACCAGGUGAUCUACCCAUGUCCAGGGUGAAGUUCAGGUAACACUGAAUGGAGGCCCGAACCCACGCACGUUGAAAAGUGCGGGGAUGAGGUGUGGGUAGGGGUGAAAUGCCAAUCGAACCUGGAGAUAGCUGGUUCUCUCCGAAAUAGCUUUAGGGCUAGCCUCAAGGUAAGAGUCUUGGAGGUAGAGCACUGAUUGGACUAGGGGCCCCUACCGGGUUACCGAAUUCAGUCAAACUCCGAAUGCCAAAGACUUAUCCUUGGGAGUCAGACUGCGAGUGAUAAGAUCCGUAGUCGAAAGGGAAACAGCCCAGACCGCCAGCUAAGGUCCCAAAGUAUACGUUAAGUGGAAAAGGAUGUGGAGUUGCUUAGACAACCAGGAUGUUGGCUUAGAAGCAGCCA